rnacentral:lncRNA from 1 species
UUAAAUUUUUUAUUGACCUUUGCAUGAAGCCAUUCCAAUAUAUAUCUCUUGAGAGCAGAGGAGAUACCCAGCUACCAUUGUGAAUGACCAAAUCAAUUUAAUCUCCAUUAGGGUAAGUUCAAUUCUCAUUUUGGGACAGUUCCGUAAUGAUAUUGGGUUAGUUUCAUAACGGUAUUGGGUCAGGUCCAUAAUGAUAUUGGGUCAGUUCU